UGGGGAGAGCGACACGAGCGGGAGGAGGCGCUGUGCAGAGUGAAGAACGGCGUCUAAAGCGAAAGCGGAGGCUCCCUGGUGGCAUGCAGCACUGGCGAGAAACUGAUCACUCUGUCAGAGAAUGUUGGAGGACAUAGUCGAGGACAUAGUCAAAGACAGCAAAGAACUUAAAAUUCACCUUGCCGUAAAAUGCAUCUGAUGCACCACGUUCAAGCAUGCAGUUCAGUGGCGCAGUGAAGCACGCUCAUUUUGUUCCGCAGCCGCCCCCACCACCCUUUUUCAGAAUCUUCAUCUUGCAAAACUGAAACUUUUACCCAGUAACUCCCCACUCGCUCUAUCCCCAACCCCUGACAAUGACCGUUCUUCUCUGUCUCUGAAUAGGACUAAAUACCUCGCAAGAGUGGAAUCACACAGUGUUUGUCCGUUUCUGAUUGAUUGAUUUUCUUAGCAUAACUUAUUUAAUGUUCAUCCAUGUUGUAGCAUUGUGUCGGAAUUUUCUUCCUUUUUAAAACUGAAUAGCAACUGUUAAGUGUUUGUUAAAUGCCUAUUGUAUGUAUAUACUACAUUUUGCUUACCUGUUCAUUUAUUGAGGGACA